rnacentral:tRNA from 1 species
GCAGUGUUGGCUUAGUGGUAGAAUUCUUGCCUUCUAUGUGGGAGACCCAGGUUCGAUUCCUGGACUAUGUG